GCAGAACUGAUAAAACGUGUCUCUUUUCAACAGAUUGGCACCUCCAUAAACAUUCCACAACCACACUGUGUUAAGGGUUUCCCCCAGCUUACAUUAUGCAGUUGCCGUGCGCUCAGAUACCCUACCAACAGGAUUCGUACACUACAGGAUCAGAACUUGCAUUGAUGAGGAAUAUAAUGAUGAGAUACCAUAUUAGUGCUCCUGGAAAUACUAUACUGUGCUUGUCUGCUACAUUACUUCUAUUGUAGCAGAAAAAUCCUACUAAACUGAGCCAUAGCUGUUCUUUUGUUUCAGAGCAGGGUUGGACAAAAUCUGGGGACUUGGUGGUCAAAUUCAACCCCUCCCCAGGCUGUGUGAACUCCAAACAUUUCUUGCAGGGGGAGUUUUGGGGAGUCUCAUCUUUCCCUAAUCCAAGAAGCAGAAAACUGCUAUUGCUGGAUGGACACACCGGUGCCAUCCAGCCCUUUCAUCUUUCACUGCUGCUUGCCAUGAAUCCUCUUAUCUUCAGUUGUGUAACAAAUGAAUGGGAAUCAGUGAAUCUUCUUUGCACCCAUUGGCUCCUUGCUCAUGUUCCAAAUUAUAUGAUUGGCUCGACCGAGGACUUCUCAGAUUCUGUCUUAACGGCUGCCACACCUGUACUCCGGGGGAGCACUCCACGCCAUGAGCGUCAGCCGCUCUUUUGUCUUUACAUUCGUCUUGGGAGGAGGGAGCGCUUCACGAGUUGAAACAGGUGGUGGCAUGAAACAAGAAGCUAUGCCAGGAUGAUAUCAUCAUGUUUCACCUUUUAUGGUAUCUUCUAUGAACACAGGAAGAAGGUGUGACGAUGUCCUCGAAAACACUGGAAACACCAUGACCUGCAGUAGAGCUGCUUAUAGAAGAAACUGUGUUUAUAGCUCUCAGUGUUGUUUAUCUUCGUACUGAGAAAAAAAAAUCCCCUUCUUCCUUUCUGUGAAGUCACUUUCCAUCCCUUCUUGCUCGUCCAGUUAAAAAUGGCUGAUAGCAAACAUGAAUACAGACACCACUGAGACAGAGAUUUCUCUCUUUCAUUUUUGGAUUCUCUUCUUUUUCCUCAUGCACCAUAUAUAAAUGGAUUUCUUAUAGAGUGUAAACUUAAGAGAUGCUUUAUGAAUGAAUACAUACAUUAUAUAAAACAUGGCCACAGUGCAAAAAGCACCCAUGUUGUUUGUAUGAAAGUUGUAUCAACAUGUACAAAAGGAUGUUUAAAUUGAUAAAUGAUUCAGAUGACUCGUCCACAUUAUUUUGAGCCUUGCUAAAUACACAUUUGGGUGCUAACUGUUUUUUCUAGCCAUGUAUGCACGAUUCUGCUCAAAGGUGAAACACCUGAGCAUGAUCAGUAAAUCCUUCUGUUUCAGCAUCAAGGUUUUGAACCUCUUCUAGAAAAUCACUGCAGCCUGAAGAUUCUUUGCUGCACAUCACCUAGUUUGGUUGCCAUCAUUGCUGAAAGAUGCUUACAUUCAUGUUGAAAACUGUUCACCUCUGUACUCCUGAACAUGACUUAUGGGGCUUCAAAUGGACAAUUGCAUGCGUGAUUCAAAACAAUCCUGGGCCCCUGAUCUUUAAUGCAAGAAGCAAAAUGAAGCUGCCUCGGAUGUCAUUUCCUUGAAACUAAGUUUUAGAUCUCUGAAGUUUUAGAAUAGCAUACAAGUGCUCCUGGCAUGAUGCUGGGGACUCAGCUGAUCUUGAGUCACGUUCCAACACUUCACA
ensembl:lncRNA